rnacentral:rRNA from 1 species
GGACCAAGGAGUCUAGCAUGUGCGCGAGUCAUUGGGAUAUUUUUAAACCUAAAGGCGUAAUGAAAGUGAACGUCAACCUUGCGUUGACCGAGGGAAGAUGGGUCGCCGUAAUUGGCGGCCUCGCAUUCCCGGGGCGUCUCGUUCUCAUUGCGAGAUGAGGCGCACCAAUAGCGUACACGCUAGGACCCGAAAGAUGGUGAACUAUGCCUGGUCAGGACGAAGUCAGGGGAAACCCUGAUGGAGGUCCGUAGCGAUUCUGACGUGCAAAUCGAUCGUCUGAACUGGGUAUAGGGGCGAAAGACUAAUCGAACCAUCUAGUAGCUGGUUCCCUCCGAAGUUUCCCUCAGGAUAGCUGGCGCUCAUUGUAUAAGAGUUUCAUCCGGUAAAGCGAAUGAUUAGAGGCAUUGGGGUCGAAACGGCCUCAACCUAUUCUCAAACUUUAAAUGGGUGAGAUCUCUGGCUUGCUCGAACUAUUGAAGCCACGAGACUCGAAUCAGAGUGCCAAGUGGGCCAUUUUUGGUAAGCAGAACUGGCGCUGUGGGAUGAACCAAACGCAGAGUUAAAGCGCCUAAAUCGACGCUUAUGGGACACCACGAAAGGCGUUGGUAACUUAAGACAUCAGGACGGUGGCCAUGGAAGUCGGA